rnacentral:tRNA from 1 species
GCCUGGGUGGCUCAGUCAGUUGAGUGUCUGACUUCAGCUCAGGUCAUGAUCUCACGGUUUGUGGGUUCGAGCCCCGCAUCAGGCU